rnacentral:rRNA from 1 species
CAAGCGGUGGAGCAUGUGGUUUAAUUCGAUGCAACGCGAAGAACCUUACCUGGUCUUGACAUCCACAGAAGAAUCCAGAGAUGGAUUGGUGCCUUCGGGAACUGUGAGACAGGUGCUGCAUGGCUGUCGUCAGCUCGUGUUGUGAAAUGUUGGGUUAAGUCCCGCAACGAGCGCAACCCUUAUCCUUUGUUGCCAGCGAUUAGGUCGGGAACUCAAAGGAGACUGCCAGUGAUAAACUGGAGGAAGGUGGGGAUGACGUCAAGUCAUCAUGGCCCUUACGACCAGGGCUACACACGUGCUACAAUGGCGCAUACAAAGAGAAGCGACCUCGCGAGAGCAAGCGGACCUCAUAAAGUGCGUCGUAGUCCGGAUUGGAGUCUGCAACUCGACUCCAUGAAGUCGGAAUCGCUAGUAAUCGUGGAUCAGAAUGCCACGGUGAAUACGUUCCCGGGCCUUGUACACACCGCCCGUCACACCAUGGGAGUGGGUUGCAAAAGAAGUAGGUAGCUUAACCUUCGGGAGGGCGCUUACCACUUUGUGAUUCAUGACUGGGGUGAAGUCGUAACAAGGUAACCGUAGGGGAACCUGCGGUUGGA